CCUGGAAAGAGGCAUUGACAUAGCAAGUGUGACCUUUCAUCAGAGUGACUGGCAGUCCAAAGCAGAAGAAAGCUUGUGGCUCUAUUGAGUUUAAAAUACACAGCACCAGGUACAGGCUUAGAUGUCCGUGCAAUGUUACAACCCUUAUUUGAUUUCAGUGGGAAUGCUACUGAAUGCUUGGGAUCAUUUUAUUAUAAAAACCUAUGCACAGGAGGUUAGCCUUAUCAGCAAGCUCCUGUCCUAAGAAAAUGCCUCAGAGCAUUUACAGCUGGAACUGAGCACAACUCUGGUAAGAUCCAGUCAUUUUUGCCAUAAGACUAAGUGACUAAGCUGCUAAAGCAGGAACACAAUUUGUUUUUCAGAUUGAUCCACCUCCUGUGUUUUGGACAGAAGGAUGGGUGCAUGGAAGACCAGUGAUCAUCCCCUCUUUAACUACGUGAAGCAUUUCACUCCUACAUCACUUGUGAAACAGGAUGGAUGGAAUCAGAGCAGGAAACCCUUUGGCUCAGGAAUCUCUUGUGUAAAUCCAGGCACCAAAAUGCAGCAUGAGCCACAGGCUACUCACAACAAAGACAAAGCAAAGACAGGUCAAACAGCUACAGACUCCACAGCCUAUCCAAGCUAGGUCUGCUCUUCCCAUAUGCCCAGCUGGGACCAUCCUAGACAGUGGGUGUAGCUGAGGGCUAAAACAAGGAGCACAGAAAGAGAACGUGAUUGCCUGGUGCAACCAUGCUGUUGGUGAGCUACAUCCUGGGAUCUCUUAGAAGACCUGCUUCCUCCUGCAGCGAAGGCGGUAUGGCACCUAGAGAUCCCCUGCAACCCGUGGGUUCUCUCUCGAUGCUCUCUUUUCUUUGGUCAGGCAAGAUUUAGUUGCUUAGUAACACAACGGCUUCCCAUUAAUGACGGCCAAAGCAUGCAGGGCCCAUGCACCGGAGGAAGACACUGGAGGCAUCACUGCAGGGUUCACACUCUGAAGUCCAGCAAAAUCUGUGACAUCCACAUGUGGCGUGCCGGGGUUGCUUAUCUAAUGCAAGGACCCCAUGCACUAGAAACCUGGGAAAGAAAUGUUGGUCUUUUUUUCCCAAUCACUUGCAUCAAGGGGCAUUGCCAUGACACAAAGCCAGCAUCUGUCUUCCUCUCAAUGCAAUGUACCUUGGUUCAGAUAUCUGGAAAUUAUGUUCCAGAUAUCUGGAACAGGUUUCUCUAGGCUGUAAGGCAAAUAGCUCCAUGCUCACAGUGCUCAGUAAUUAAGACCUAAGCUCACCAAAAUUCAGGGGCUUUUGCAGACAUAAGCAAAGGGAACCUGGGUGAAGCUGGAAGACUGAGGCAGAGGUAGUGGAGGGCGUCUUCACAUGCAGUAUCUAAAAAGGGAGUGCAGUCUCUGAAGCAGGGCAUCUUAGGAAAUACAGUGCUUUCAAAAUUGCUCUCAUAUCUGAUAAAACAUUCCCCAACAUAUCAGCAGUUUCUUAGUAAGGCAUUUCAUUAUUCAUGAAUACACUAUUUAUAGGCUAUUGCCAACACAAUUUUUAAACACCCCAUUAAACAACCAGGCUACGUAACUCACUCACCAAAGGACAUCAACAAGCUGUUAAGUUUCUUGUGUUACAUGGGGAGCCAGUCAUCAGUCCUCUGCUUAGAUUGUCCAAAUUAAUCACCAUUUAUCCCCUUCUGUGUGCAUUCCUUGGGAGAAUUCUGACAGCAAAUAUCAAAUGAACUUGAAAUAAAGUCAUAAAAGCCCACAUAGUCCUACUUGCACUGGUGAUGCCUGGGAACUAUCAACUAUCUGUAGAGGGAAGAGUGGAGCCAAGCUUCCCCCAGCUAGUCUUUCAGACCCAGCUCCUUGCUCUUUUAAGUGACACAUCAGACAAAUGCUAUUCCAACAUGGAGGGACAGACAGAAAGAAAACUUUGACUAUCCCCAACCACCUCCAGACCUGGCACCUGGUUCCAGCUCUGCUCCUCCCCCUUUUGUGGCACUUUUUUAUUAAAAAUUUAGCUCAUCACAUUCAGCCUCUCACAGUCCCAAGCAACAGACAACAGUGCUUCUGGCAGGAUCUCCUCCUUUACCCCAGUAGCCAUGGAAGAUCCCCAACGCUCCAUAACGAGCCUGAAAUCUUUAAUACAAAAGAUUAACAGCUUCCAAAGCUACAAAGGACUGAAGAAUUUGCAGCAUUGACAGUGAUCUAGGUCUCUAUAACAGUCUCAGCUAAAGUAGUUUGCUAACUAGGAAGGCAGGAGUCUGUGCUGAAAGACAGAGCUCAAGUUCAGCCUUGUUUGCAACACAUGACAGAGGCACUGUUAGAAACAUACAGGAGAGUAUUUGGGUUAUUAUAAACACAGGAAGUUUUGUUUAAAACCCUGUAUUAAAAGAAAAACACCUGCUAGGAGCAGUUACCAUUAUAAUCACAGCUUGCCCUCCCCUGUGAGCACGCAUGAUGAGACAGGUUUUAAUUACACUUGUCAUUUUCCCUAGGAACCUUGCCUUACUGAACAUAAGAUAUACACUUGUGCAGAAAGAUUAAGUUUGCUUGGCAACCUUGAAAUUACCAUUUCCUACUAUCUGAAUGUGAAUCUUCCAACUACAGCUAGCAUUAUUUUGAAAUUAUGGUUUGUAUUAUUUCUACCUAAUAACAAUUUAGGAAUUUUUCAGGCAUAAGGGGUCAGAUUCCAAUCUCAGUUAUUCACAUGUAACCUUAGAAUUCAUGAUCUUAAAGUCCUCAUAUAAAAAUAACUCUGUAGCUCUAGAAGGACUACAUGCUUGACACCAUUAAUAUUUUAUUCCUUUACACCCUUUCAGCAAGCAUACUUCAAAUUAGUUAUUUUAAAACAUGCCCUUGUUCACUAUACAAUGCUGCUGGCUCAGUGGAACCGUUGUGCUGGCUCUGAGCGAAAUGAGCGCCCCAGAGCCUCUGCUGUUUGCGGAGACGGAGGUGCCCACGCAGCUGAAGGCUGGGCAGCACAUCCUGCCGGGAGGAGCGUGGCAUUGGGGAUAUUUGGGAGAAGUCUCCCAAGAAAAGCUGAGGCAAUCAAAGGGUGAGACAGAUGGAUUCUCCUCUGUUUGGACAAGUAGCUGAGGCUGGGGAAGAAGUGAUGGGGCAACCUGCCACCUGAAAGACAAGUUGUGGCUGGUAUUGGGAAACCAUGUACCAACACGAGGGGAGGCUGUGGCUUGAGGACAGCCAGGUGCAUAAUCCAUGACUGGACUUGCCUCUACCUCGGGGAAGGGAACGUGGCUGUUUAGCUGGAUGACUAAAUUAUGUCAGAACAUCCAUCUCCUCUACACCUGUGUCCCAGGGAGGGCACGUGAGAUGUGGAUGUGCCUUCAUGUUGGAAAAAGAAAUACUUGCUGCAGGUGACAAGGUCCUUUUUGCUAAUGUAUAUGAUUUUCAUGGCUUUAAGCAAGGUUUUGCCAUUUUAUGACAAAUUCUAUUGGGUUUUUCUUCCUAAUUCUUUUCUUCUUCCACUGCUAAUUUACUCUGGGCUGAAAUGCAGUUUAGGAAACAUCUUAAAUACCAUGCUAAAACAGUGUUUGCAAGCUUUGACUUUUUAAACUGUACAUAAUUCAGGGCAUUUCCUAAAUUCCUGUGACUUCCAAGUUACUUACAGUCUCUAAAAAGUAGUCUAAGGUGCUGUAAAACCACUGUCCAUGCAUUUGUGGAAUUACAGUGAAAAUACCAUUUAAAAAUUAUCUGCAUCCAACCAAAUCUAAUAAAACUCUCCAAUCUGCAUCCAGCCAAAUCUAAUAAAACUCUCCAGGACUCAGGCAGACUAGGAGGAAGUUGUGGCCUUGCUCCCACCACAGUAUGUACACCCUUUAAACAGAUCUUUAAACAGAACUUGGUACUGGCACACAGAGUUCUCUGGAGGCUCAGGGCUGGCAAAUCUCUUCCUUGCGUUUCUCCACUAAGCAGCAUUGGGAGAUGCUGAUGGUUUGCACCUGUAUAACCCAAUGGUCACUGCGGGAUAGGACCUGGAGGACCGUCUAUUCUGCUUCUCAGCAGAGCCGAUGCCUGUGCUGGCUGCUGCAGGCACACAACCAUGCCAGCAAGUUUAAAGCUUGCUCCUCCGCCCCACACUAGGCUGCAUCCGCAGGGGCACAGCUACGCCUGUGAGCCAGCGCCCUGAUUUUCUUUAACACUUUGGAGCCAAUUGUCCGUAUCUAUAUUGCAAGUGGAGUUCAUUUCUGAAUGAACAUGUGUGCUUUUGACAGCAUCACCCUGAUGGAAAUGAGAAGCUUUCCUAUGAAAAAGGGCAUAACAAGAAGCAACGGACUGAAGAUAAGAUGGAGAAAAAUUAGCUGGCACAUGGGGAGAGCAUGGAGCAUGCUGGCAUGGAGGGAGAUGUCUUGCUCCUGAGGUGUAGAAAAAUGGCAUGGGAUUGUUGCUUUGAAAUGAUAAAGUUGAACACAGUUUGCUGUUCAUAAGUCCUGCCCUGGCCCCAGGAAACAACGCAGGGUACCAAAUAAUGCUCUUCUCUUUGCAAGUCCCCUAAAUCAACCUGCACUGAAAACAAGUGUAUAACCUCUUCCAGGCAACAGCUGUGCGCCGACUUCUGUGGGGAUAUGGCUCGCACCCAUUGGGAACUUUCCAGAAAAAGUGUUUUAAAAAUGUUACCCCAGCUAUUCCACUGAGCAACAUUUGAACACAACUCUGUGCACUGGCCAGAAAAAGCUGGGCCAUUGUCCUCCAGCCACCCCUCCACAACUUGUGUUUCUCGCUCCCCAGCAAACAUGGCUCUUAGCAAGGCACUGACUAUCCUCUGUCCAGCCUGAGUUGCAGAGGGAGAACUGCUUGGGCCUGAGGCUGGAUGGCACAGUCAGGACACAGGACGUACAAUAUGUGCAACUGGCUCAGAUUUAAGAGCAACAGGGAACUGACACAAUCCCCCAUCAGGCUACAGCUACAGAAAACCCAUCUUCAUGCUUGACCAAAAUAAUAUGAGAGAGGAGAAACUCAUGCGUACACAGAUCCUGACCAGAGGUAGCUGAUUCUCCCUGGGUUUCAACAGCUCCUCAGCUUUUGCCGAACCGAGGAGGAGUAACACAGUAGUGCUGGGCAAUUCUUGGCCACAAACCCAUGUGAACUAUCUGCAAAGCUGCCAUCCUCCCAGGCUUGCUCACACUCUUCCAUGUUUGCUCACACAGAACAUAUCAAGCCUUCUGGAUGUGUACGCCCUGAAACUGAUAUAAAGGAGUUUUUUUCAGGCAGGGAUUCAGAUGUGUGUGUAAUAGGGAGGAUUCAGCUGUUCGAUACCCAAAUGCACUAUUUACAUUUUCACCUUCCUCUUUCUCCUGUUACUUCUUGGGUUAACUUCCUUCCAGAAGAAUGCUCAGAGCCUUGCAUUAAAUACCACAUGGCUUUUUUCAAAUGCAGUAGAUGUUUCCAACUACAAAUAAACACGUAGGUGUAGAACUCGCCUUUCGAAGUAUUUUGAGCUGCAGAUUGGGUGGACGCAGGGGCCCUGUGGCAUUUGGCCCCGGCACAGGGCCCUCACCUGGCCACGGAUCGGAGGCCCUGGCAGCUGCUCCAGGUGCUCAUUUCUGUAUCCCUCCCGGGCAGCUCGCAGAGGAGAUGCAUGAGAUGUAAAGGGUCCACCAGUUGCACAUUUUGCUCCACAGGGUUGCUGAAAUAAUAGGCUGGCUGGGACAGCCCCAGCCUAACCGGUGCACUCCUUGAGUUGGUGAAGCACAACACGCUUUGCCUCCAACACUGCUCUCCUGCAGGAGUGAAUCUGCUCCUGGGGGAGAGCCACUCACCUUUCAUCAAGAAAGGCACUGGCUCAUACAUGUCCCGAGUUGCUCCCUAGUAUGAGGAAAAGCACUUGUUUAUGGAGGAUGGUGAAGAGUCACUGAACCAGCUGAUCAGCCUGCCUGAACUACUGUGUUAGCGCAACAUAUUUGUGCAAGCUAGAGCUUAAUA